CAGGUCCGCACAAUGAGCACAUAUAUGGUAGCAGAUAUGAUGGCCUAAAGGGGGAUACAGGACUUCUUACCUUUUUAUGGCUGAAUAGUAUUCUGCUAUGCAUAUGGACUACAUUUCCUUUUUCUGUUCAUCAGUUGAUGGCCAUUUUGGUAUCCCCAUGUCUUGACUACUGGGAAUAGAGAUACAGUGAACAUAGGAAUACAGACUAAAGGAGUUAUUUUGGCCUACAGCUGAAAAGGAUGGCAUCAUAAUAGAAAUGAGAGUUGGAUGGAUUAUCAGAUAUAGAGAAAAAGAAAAGUGAUGAACCACCCACUCUUCACUCACCCAUGUCAUAAUUACCAUGUGCAGGUCAUCAUAUUAGAUAAUAAGUGGGAAUCCCAGAUGUCUGUCAAUCAGAUCCAUACCUCCAAGACAAAGAAAAUAAAAAUCAAAAUGCACAGAGAACAAUACUGAUUUUCAUUAUUGAAAUAUUCAAAUGGUGACUGGGUUGUCAAAUUCAUCAAAGAAAUUAUAUAUUGACUGUGACACAGCUUUAUUGAGACUGCUGAAAGUCCCCAGGGAAUAGAAGAUAAAAUCCCCUGCAGCUUGAACUACCGGAUUAGAAGGAAAUUUCUAAAUGAAACUUGCUAAUGAAGACAACACACUGCUGAGGAAAUAAUGGGAAAUUCAGUGUCGGCGGCUGAUACAACUAACUUGAAAUAAAGCAUUUUUGGAGUAGAGAAUAGUGAAAAGGUGGCAAAUCCCCAAAUCUGUAAGGGAAAUAGUUAAAUACAAGUUGCAUCCAGGGGCCAUUUAGCAUCCGGUGUUUUGGAUAUAGUUAAUAAAAAGGUAUAAGGAACAAUACCAGCCUUGGCACUAUAAAAAGCAAUCAAAC
rnacentral:lncRNA from 1 species